rnacentral:sRNA from 1 species
GCUGUCGCAAAAUCGACAGCNGGGCGUAGGAACCCGUGUAAUUCACAGGCGACCACCAGACGCGCCAUGCGUCUUUUUU